UUUUGUUGGUAGACACAAGUCAAAAAUAAAAUCUUGGUCGGUAAGCAAUUUUUAAAUCCUAUAAAUAUGUGAUAGUAUUGGUAUGUUUUUGCUCAUCACACUAUCAAAUUACACACUACACUAGCGUCUAUAUUGCAUUGCAUGUAAUUUAAUUUUCUCAUUUUUUAUUGUUUUUGAGGGGCUCUUCUUCCCAAAGUAAUUAUUACAUGCAAUUAUAUAUUUUGUUUGUAUCUCAUGAUUCAUGCCUCUCCUUUGCUUUGCAGUUGCUACUUGCUAAUUAGGAUGCCUCCGAAGAAGUCCGUUGACCGAGCUGCUUAUAAGGAGUCCUUGGCCUCACGAGGCCAGUCUCCGCCGCCACGUGCACCUCCUCCUCGAGCUGAUCCACCCAAAGCUCAGGAUAGGGCACCCAAGAAGGAGAAGGAGAUGGAUUAGAAAAUUAAUACUACUAAUGAUCUUUCUUUUUUUUUUUAUCAGAAAAAAGGCAUAUAUUGAAAAAGAAGAAGGUACCAGUGGUACCAAAGACAGCUUACAGCAUAGAGCUACAAAGCUUUGAAGAACACCAUUCCAGGAGGGAUGGCUCCCACGCAAAGAAACCAAAAAUCUUGUUCCAACUCCACAUUCUAGUUUUAAUCUCCAUGAUAAUGCUCUUAAACUCCCACACAUUGUCUUCGAAUCUACUUUCAUUUCUCUUUCUCCAAAUCACCCAAAUUGUGCACAUCCACAAGGCCUUUAGAAACUGAGUGCUCUUCUUGCCAUUUGCCAAAAACAUAAAAGAAGAGAAAUGAUCUAGAAUACCUUGCGGUCGAGCCCAGCUGUAACCCGUCCAACUAAGAAUCUGAUCCCAAAUCAUUUCAGAUUUCGGGCAGUCGAAGAACAGAUGAAUCGCUGACUCCUGCGGGAAAAAACAGGCCACACAGCUCUUCUCCACCUCUCCCACUAGAACAUUUCUUCGAAUAAGAUUGUCACAAGUUGGAAGUCGAUUUCUCAAGACACGCCAUGCUGUCACUCGAACUUUCUGCGGGGCUGGCGUAUUCCACAAAUCAAUGAAAGGUUUCAUCUCCUCCGGCUCUACUCUUCUCUCAUCUCUAUGGUCCCUAAUUGCUUGAUAAGCUGAAUUUGCGGUGUAAACUCCGUCUUUUUGCGCUCUCCACAUCCAUUUGUCCACUUCUCAACCUCCCUGUCAAGAAGCUCCCUUCUCCAUUUGAGAUUCCACACCCAUCUCCCAUCUAUCCAUUCCCCCAAUUCACGAAUAUUCCCAUUCUGAUUAUUGCUGAGGAGGAAAAGACGUGGAAACAAGACUUUAAGAGGCUGCUCCCCUUCCAUGCUUGAUGCCAGAAUUUAGUAUUACUUCCGUCUCCGAUCUUCCUUUUCAAGUUUUUUGCAAACCAAGAACUUGCUUUCCCAACACCUAGAUCCACAAUUUUCGGCCACCAACCUCCACCCGCUCUCCGUCGUCCUCUCAUCAGCGUCCCUUCUUCUCCCCAUUUCAGUUCGCCGUAUAUUGACUUAAUGACUCUAAUCCACAAAGAUUCGUCAUCCUCAAGGAAUCUCCAAAGCCAUUUCAAAAUCAGAGUAUUGUUAAACCAUUCCAUGUUUUUCAAGCCAAGUCCCUCUUCUCUUUUUGGGAGACAAACAUCCUGCCAUUUCACCCAAGUAAUAUGACUUUUAGACUCAUCUCCUCCCCACAAAAUUUUUUCCAAUAGAGAAUUAAACUUUUUGACUGUUGCUUUUGGAAUUGGAGAGAAGGAUAUCUGCCUGGAGCACUGCUUUUGCAAGGGUGAUGCGACCAGCCAACGAGAGAUUCUUGUCCCUUCAUCCCUGCAUCUUCUUCCUUACUUUUCAACCAGAUAAUCCCAUUCCAUAAUUUUGUUCAAAUGCCCUCCGAUCUUAAUUCCCAGAUAGCUGAAAGGCAAAGUGCCAACUGAACAAUUCAGCGAACCUGCCUUCUGUUGUAGACGUUGUGCGUCUAUCCCAAUCCCCAUGAGAGAGCACUUACUGAAAUUAACUGCCAGACCCGAAAUCCAUUGUAAAAAAACACAAAAUAUGCUUGAUUGUUUCCACAUUUCUAUCAUCAUUGUCGAGAAUAAAAAUCGUGUCAUCCGCAUAUUGGAGAUGCGACACCUUAACCUUAUCAUUUCCUAUCUCCGCAGGAAUCAGGAAACCCCUCUCCACCGCUCGUGUCACCAAGAGAUGAAGGCCUUCCGCCACAAAUAGAAACAGAAAAGGAGAUAGGGGGUCUCCCUGCCGAAGACCCCUCUCUACCUUGAACUUGCCUGCUGGUGAACCAUUCAAAAGAAUAUUCGCUGUUGUCGAAGACAGGCAGCCAUUGAUCCAACUUCUCCAUUUGGGAUCAAAAUUUAAACUUUUCCAGCAUGAUAUCAAUGAAGUUCCACUCCACCGAGUCGAAUGCUUUCGCAAAAUCAAUUUUGAAAAUCAAUCUUUGUUUCCUCUUUUUCUUCGCUUCAAAAAUUGCUUCAUUCAAAACAACGACCCCAUCCAAAAUGUAUAUGCCACAAAUAAAAGCACUUUGAUUCUCCGAGAUGAUCGAAUCCGUCACAACCUUCAUUCUCUCAGCCAGAAUUUUGGCUAUGAUCUUAUACAAACUGCCAAUUAGAGAAAUUGGUCGAAAUUCCUCGAUUUUGCUUGCUUCUUCUUUCUUGGGAAUGAGCACAAUGAAAGAUGGAUUGCCUCCUCGAGAAAUGAAUAUUAAAGCCAUCGGGACCUGGGCUCUUGUUUGCAUCGCAACUUCAGAUUGCUUCCUUUAUUUCUUCUUCAGAGAAGGGACGAAUCAGCCAAGACUUAUCUUCAUUUGUGAGUUUUAAAUAUUAAUUACUCCACUAUUGUGGAUAAUAUAAAAUUAAGAAUGAUUUAGGUGUUAAAAAUUACUCACUGGUGUGGAUGUAAUUAGAUAUAUACGUUUGGUGUGGAUCAUGUUAAAUACAUAUAUUGGUGAAUGAUAGAUAUUUCUAUUUAAUCAUGUUAA